rnacentral:rRNA from 1 species
UGGGGAAUAUUGCACAAUGGGCGAAAGCCUGAUGCAGCAACGCCGCGUGAGGGAUGACGGCCUUCGGGUUGUAAACCUCUUUUAGUAGGGAAGAAGCGAAAGUGACGGUACCUGCAGAAAAAGCACCGGCUAACUACGUGCCAGCAGCCGCGGUAAUACGUAGGGUGCAAGAGUUGUCCGGAAUUAUUGGGCGUAAAGAGCUCGUAGGCGGUUUGUCGCGUCUGCUGUGAAAUCCCGAGGCUCAACCUCGGGUCUGCAGUGGGUACGGGCAGACUAGAGUGUGGUAGGGGAGAUUGGAAUUCCUGGUGUAGCGGUGGAAUGCGCAGAUAUCAGGAGGAACACCGAUGGCGAAGGCAGAUCUCUGGGCCAUUACUGACGCUGAGGAGCGAAAGCAUGGGGAGCGAACA